rnacentral:tRNA from 1 species
CGAAACGUAACUUAACCUAAAGUAUUUCGCUUACACCGAAAGAAUAUCUGUGAAAAUCAGAUCGUCUCGAG